rnacentral:rRNA from 1 species
AGCGGCGGACGGGUGAGUAAUGCCUGGGAAUAUGCCCUGAUGUGGGGGAUAACUAUUGGAAACGAUAGCUAAUACCGCAUAAUCUCUUCGGAGCAAAGAGGGGGACCUUCGGGCCUCUCGCGUCAGGAUUAGCCCAGGUGGGAUUAGCUUGUUGGUGAGGUAAUGGCUCACCAAGGCAACGAUCCCUAGCUGGUCUGAGAGGAUGAUCAGCCACACUGGAACUGAGACACGGUCCAGACUCCUACGGGAGGCAGCAGUGGGGAAUAUUGCACAAUGGGGGAAACCCUGAUGCAGCCAUGCCGCGUGUGUGAAGAAGGCCUUCGGGUUGUAAAGCACUUUCAGUAGGGAGGAAGGUAGUGUAGUUAACACCUGCAUUAUUUGACGUUACCUACAGAAGAAGCACCGGCUAACUCCGUGCCAGCAGCCGCGGUAAUACGGAGGGUGCGAGCGUUAAUCGGAAUUACUGGGCGUAAAGCGCAUGCAGGCGGCCUGUUAAGUCA